rnacentral:rRNA from 1 species
GUGAGGAAUAUUGGUCAAUGGGCGGGAGCCUGAACCAGCCAAGUCGCGUGAAGGAAGAAGGAUCUAUGGUUCGUAAACUUCUUUUGCAGGGGAAUAAAGUGCAGGACGUGUCCUGUUUUGUAUGUACCCUGAGAAUAAGGAUCGGCUAACUCCGUGCCAGCAGCCGCGGUAAUACGGAGGAUCCGAGCGUUAUCCGGAUUUAUUGGGUUUAAAGGGUGCGUAGGUGGUUUGAUAAGUCAGCGGUGAAAGUUUGCAGCUUAACUGUAAAAAUGCCGUUGAAACUGUCGGACUUGAGUGUAAAUGAGGUAGGCGGAAUUCGUGGUGUAGCGGUGAAAUGCAUAGAUAUCACGCAGAACUCCGAUUGCGAAGGCAGCUUACUAAGCUACAACUGACACUGAAGCACGAAAGCGUGGGGAUCAAACAGGAUUAGAAACCCCAGUAGUCC